rnacentral:rRNA from 1 species
UACGUAGGGUGCGAGCGUUGUCCGGAAUUACUGGGCGUAAAGAGCUCGUAGGUGGUUUGUCGCGUUGUUCGUGAAAACUCACAACUCAAUUGUGGGCGUGCGGGCGAUACGGGCAGACUGGAGUACUGCAGGGGAGACUGGAAUUCCUGGUGUAGCGGUGGAAUGCGCAGAUAUCAGGAGGAACACCGGUGGCGAAGGCGGGUCUCUGGGCCUUACCUGACGCUGAGGAGCGAAAGCGUGGGGAGCAAACAGG